CCUACGGGGGGCAGCAGUAGGGAAUUUUGCGCAAUGGGGGAAACCCUGACGCAGCGACGCCGCGUGUGCGAUGAAGGCCUUCGGGUUGUAAAGCACUGUGGGAGGGGACGAAGUCUCUGGGGGGACCUGGAGGUGACGGUACCCUUCGAGCAAGCCCCGGCUAACUACGUGCCAGCAGCCGCGGUAAUACGUAGGGGGCGAGCGUUGUCCGGAGUCACUGGGCGUAAAGGGCGUCUAGGCGGCUUGACGCGUCGGUUGUGAAAGGAGGCGGGCUCAACCCGCCCGGGGCGACCGAAACGGUCAGGCUGGAGGGCCGGAGAGGGAAGCGGAAUUGCCGGUGUAGCGGUGAAAUGCGUAGAGAUCGGCAGGAACACCAGUGGCGAAGGCGGCUUCCUGGACGGUACCUGACGCUGACGCGCGAAAGCGUGGGGAGCGAACGGGAUUAGAUACCCCGGUAGUCCACGCUGUAAACGAUGGGUGCUAGGUGUGGCGGGUAUCGACCCCUGCCGUGCCGGAGUCAACACACUAAGCACCCCGCCUGGGGAGUACGGCCGCAAGGCUGAAACUCAAAGGAAUUGACGGGGGCCCGCACAAGCAGUGGAGCAUGUGGUUUAAUUCGAUGCUACGCGAAGAACCUUACCCGGGCUUGACAUCCCUGGAAGUGCGCAGAGAUGCGUACGCCCCUUCGGGGGCCAGGAGACAGGUGCUGCAUGGUUGUCGUCAGCUCGUGUCGUGAGAUGUUGGGUUAAGUCCCGCAACGAGCGCAACCCUCGUCCUGUGUUACCACCGAGAGGGGGACUCACAGGAGACUGCCGGGGUCGACCCGGAGGAAGGUGGGGAUGACGUCAAAUCCUCAUGGCCCUUAUGCCCGGGGCCACACACGUGCUACAAUGGCCGGUACAGAGGGCAGCGAUAGGGUGACCUGGAGCGAAUCCCCAAAGCCGGUCUCAGUUCGGAUCGCAGGCUGCAACUCGCCUGCGUGAAGGCGGAAUUGCUAGUAAUCGCGGAUCAGAACGCCGCGGUGAAUACGUUCCCGGGCCUUGCACACACCGCCCGUC
rnacentral:rRNA from 1 species